UACGUAGGGUGCAAGCGUUUGUCCGGAAUUAUUGGGCGUAAAGAGCUCGUAGGCGGUCUGUCGCGUCGGCUGUGAAAACCCGGGGCCAUCCACCCGGGCCUGCAGUCGAUACGGGCAGACUAGAGUGCGGUAGGGGAGACUGGAAUUCCUGGUGUAGCGGUGAAAUGCGCAGAUAUCAGGAGGAACACCUAUGGCGAAGGCAGCUCGCUGGGACGUUACUGACGCUGAGACGCGAAAGCGUGGGGAGCAAACAGG
rnacentral:rRNA from 1 species